CAAUAGCGUAUAUUUAAGUUGUUGCAGUUAAAAAGCUCGUAGUUGGAUUUCGGAUGGGAUCUGCCGGUCCGCCUUUGAGAUGUGUACUGGUAGGUCCUAUCUUGUUGUCGGGGACCAGCUCCUGGGCUUCACUGUCCGGGACUGGGAGCCGACGAAGUUACUUUGAGUAAAUUAGAGUGUUCAAAGCAAGCCCACGCUCUGAAUAUAUUAGCAUGGAAUAACACGAUAGGACUCUGGCUUAUCUUGUUGGUCUGUGAGACCAGAGUAAUGAUUAAGAGGGACAGUCGGGGACAUUCGUAUUUCAUUGUCAGAGGUGAAAUUCUUGGAUUUAUGAAAGACGAACUUCUGCGAAAGCAUUUGUCAAGGAUGUUUUCAUUAA
rnacentral:rRNA from 1 species